GACGAACGCUGGCGGUGGGCUUAACACAUGCAAGUCGAACGGAAAGGCCCUGCUUGUGUGGGGUGCUCGAGGGGGGAACGGGUGAGUAAGAGGUGAGUAACCUGCCCUUGACUUUGGGGUAAGUUCAGGAAAGGGGGGCUAAUACCGGAUAGGAGCUCCUGCUGGAUGGUGGGGGGUGGAAAGUUGCGGCGGUUGGGGUUGGACUCGCGGCUUAUGAGGUUGUUGGUGGGGUAGUGGCGUACCAAGGCUUUGACGGGUAGCCGGCCUGAGAGGGUGACCGGCCACAUUGGGACUGAGAUACGGCCCAGACUCCUACGGGAGGCAGCAGUCGGGAAUAUUGCCCAAUGGUCGGAAGCCUGAUGCAGCAACGCCGCGUUCGGGAUGACGGCCUUCUGGUUGUAAACCGCUUUCGCCUGUGACGAAGCGUGAGUGACGGUAAUCGGUAAAGAAGCACCGGCUAACUACGUG
rnacentral:rRNA from 1 species